rnacentral:rRNA from 1 species
GGCGGCGUGCUUAACACAUGCAAGUCGAGCGGAAAGGCCCCUUCGGGGGUACUCGAGCGGCGAACGGGUGAGUAACACGUGAGCAACCUGCCCCUGACUCUGGGAUAAGCCCGGGAAACUGGGUCUAAUACCGGAUAUAACCACUGGUCUCAUGAUCGGGUGGUGGAAAGUUUUUCGGUUGGGGAUGGGCUCGCGGCCUAUCAGCUUGUUGGUGGGGUGAUGGCCUACCAAGGCGACGACGGGUAACCGGCCUGAGAGGGCGACCGGUCACACUGGGACUGAGACACGGCCCAGACUCCUACGGGAGGCAGCAGUGGGGAAUAUUGCGCAAUGGGCGGAAGCCUGACGCAGCGACGCCGCGUGAGGGAUGACGGCCUUCGGGUUGUAAACCUCUUUCAGCAGGGACGAAGCUAACGUGACGGUACCUGCAGAAGAAGCGCCGGCUAACUACGUGCCAGCAGCCGCGGUAAUACGUAGGGCGCAAGCGUUGUCCGGAAUUAUUGGGCGUAAAGAGCUCGUAGGCGGUUUGUCGCGUCUGUCGUGAAAGCCCACGGCUUAACCGUGGGUCUGCGGUGGAUACGGGCAGACUAGAGGCAGGUAGGGGAGAAUGGAAUUCCCGGUGUAGCGGUGAAAUGCGCAGAUAUCGGGAGGAACACCGGUGGCGAAGGCGGUUCUCUGGGCCUGUACUGACGCUGAGGAGCGAAAGCGUGGGGAGCGAACAGGAUUAGAUACCCUGGUAGUCCACGCCGUAAACGUUGGGCGCUAGGUGUGGGGUCCUUCCACGGAUUCCGCGCCGCAGCUAACGCAUUAAGCGCCCCGCCUGGGGAGUACGGCCGC